rnacentral:rRNA from 1 species
UCGGGAAUUUUGCGCAAUGGGCGAAAGCCUGACGCAGCAACGCCGCGUGAGGGACGAAGGCCUUCGGGUCGUAAACCUCUUUUCUCAGGGAAGAUGAUGACGGUACCUGAGGAAGAAGCCACGGCUAACUACGUGCCAGCAGCCGCGGUAAUACGUAGGUGGCGAGCGUUGUCCGGAUUUACUGGGCGUAAAGAGCGCGCAGGCGGUUGGCCAAGUCGAAUGUGAAAGCCCCCGGCUCAACUGGGGAGGGUCAUUCGAUACUGGUCGACUCGAAGGCAGGAGAGGGACGUGGAAUUCCCGGUGUAGUGGUGAAAUGCGUAGAUAUCGGGAGGAACACCAGUGGCGAAGGCGGCGUCCUGGCCUGUUCUUGACGCUGAGGCGCGAAAGCCAGGGGAGCGAACGG